UACGUAGGGUGCGAGCGUUGUCCGGAAUUAUUGGGCGUAAAGCGCGCGCAGGCGGUCUUUUAAGUCUGAUGUGAAAGCCCACGGCUCAACCGUGGAGGGUCAUUGGAAACUGGGAGACUUGAGUGCAGAAGAGAAGAGCGGAAUUCCACGUGUAGCGGUGAAAUGCGUAGAGAUGUGGAGGAACACCAGUGGCGAAGGCGGCUCUUUGGUCUGUAACUGACGCUGAGGCGCGAAAGCGUGGGGAGCGAACAGG
rnacentral:rRNA from 1 species